rnacentral:rRNA from 1 species
UACGUAGGGGGCAAGCGUUGUCCGGAAUCAUUGGGCGUAAAGCGCGUGUAGGCGGCCAGAAAAGUCCGCUGUGAAAACUCGAGGCUCAACUUCGAGCUGUCGGUGGAAACUUUCUGGCUAGAGUCCGGAAGAGGAGAAUGGAAUUCUUGGUGUAGCGGUGAAAUGCGUAGAUAUCAAGAGGAACACCUGCGGCGAAGGCGGGUUGCUGGGCCGACACUGACGCUGAGGCGCGAAAGCCAGGGGAGCGAACGGG